GGCGAACGCUGGCUGUUGCAGCUCCUGAGCCGUCCAGAUUUCCCGACAGAAACACGCCAUGGCUCCGAAGUCCGCACAAAUUCCGCCCCGAUUAUGGAGGAGCUCGGAGCAAAUCUGAAGUUGACAGAAGGGACACUUCAAAUGGAGUGACUGACUACAAAUGGUAACCAGGAAUCUUGUAUGAAAUGGCAUUUACAAGUCUUCAGUAUAUGGCAGGACUGCAAACGUUCCGCUCAGCGUCUCCAGCUCAUGAAAACAUCACUAAUGCAUCACCAUUAUCUAUGCAACAAGAGUCUGAAGCAAAGGACAGCGAGAUCCCGAGAAGGCGAAUUAUGGUGAUGAUAAUUGUGACCAGAUCUAACAAUCCCGGA